ACCCUUACUCUUCUCAUCAGUGAGAUAGGUGAGUGCUCACCAUUACACAUAUACUUCCUUGGUGCAUACCCAACUCCCUUUGUGUCUCCACCUCCAAGGCACACCAUACACCACAUAACCAUUUAUGUCUCAUACAGAAAUUAUGACCAAAACACAGCCACAUACCUUCACAUCGACGACUACAGAAUCAAACAAAUGGACAUCAUCAAGAAAUAAUUCAUCAACAAAUAUCAACAAUUCAUCAGAAGCCAAAGGGUGGAUUUGGUUGAACAUUAUUCGUCCUGUGUGUUUGGCAGCCAUGAUAAUAACUGUUGUGGUGAUCAACAGAUGGAAGAAAACAAAAGGUCCCUCCAGAACUUGAAGCAUGUGAAGGAUCAACCUGAUCAUCUCACUGUGCUCUUUUAUAGCUAUUAAUAAAGAUAUUUAGAAAUAACAUGUUCUUGUUUGUUAUGAGUACAGUACUGCUGAUAACUAGCUUAAAUAAUUUUUUUCAUGUUGAGGCAUCAAUCAACAGCAUAUAUCACUAAUAAUAUUUAUUUUGAUUUGCUUCUUUCU